rnacentral:snRNA from 1 species
GGAUGUGAGGGCGAUCUGGCUGUGACAUCUGUCACCCCAUUGAUCGCCAGGGUUGAUUUGGCUGAUCUGGCUGGCUAGGCGGGUGUCCCCUUCCUUCCUCACAGCUCCAUGUACGUCCUUCCCAAAGCUGCGCGCUCGGUCAAAGAGGACAACCUUCCCCGACAGAGGCGUACCGUUCAUCGGUCAAGGGUAUACGGUAGCUGCGCUCCCCUGCUAGAACCUCCAAACAAGCUCAAGGUCCUUUCGUAGGAGAGGGGUGGCCAGCAGGGACAGGGAGGUGAUUGUCCCUCUCUACUCUGCCCU